rnacentral:rRNA from 1 species
CAGAAGGUAGCUUACCACACGUCGAUUCAGACAGUUGCGAAUCGGCCAACAAUAAUAUGUAUUACAAUCAGGAUAUGGAUAGCGUGAUCAUUCUUGGAAAAGCAGUGGCUUUGUACGAUUUUGAUGGUACUACUGAAGGCACAACACUACUGAAGGCACAACAUCGGUGCACGAAAAUGAGCAGUUGCUUGUUUUGGAAAUUGAUACCGGCGACGGGUGGACCAAAAUUAGAAAAGUGAACAGCACAGCAUCAGAAUCGGAUGGAUUUGUGCCGACCUCUUAUUUAAGUCUUGAUUUAUAUCCAGAAGUGUAGCUUUUUGUAAUUAAAAUGAACAAAAAAAAAGAAAGAAGAAAAGUAACUUGCGCCCGGUUAUAAAAAGCUGACCUCCUCCGUCUACUGUGCAAGCAGAAUGAAAUCAGCAGAAAUGAGGCAUUUUGUUCAUCUAUGACAGCUGCCUUGUGCUCACCAGUUAUCUUAUUUUAUUUUUAUUCAGUGUGUACUAUUUAUUCAUUUAUUUUUUUGGUGUGAAUGUUUCGUAUGUACAGUUUUAUUUUUUGUUCGUUUUCUGUGCCAGUCGUUCUUGUAAUUUCAGAAAGCAAUGCAGCUGCCGUUUUAUCUCAUUACUUAAUAGUUUCUCAGAGUUGUUGCUUUUUGUAAAGGUUGUAAAGUUGAAACUUAAAGGAAUUGACGGAAGGGCACCACCAGGAGUGGAGCCUGCGGCUUAAUUUGACUCAACACGGGAAAACUCACCCGGCCCGGACACUGGAAGGAUUGACAGAUUGACAGCUCUUUCUUGAUUCAGUGGGUAGUGGUGCAUGGCCGUUCUUAGUUGGUGGAGCGAUUUGUCUGGUUAAUUCCGAUAACGAACGAGACUCUACCCUAUUAAAUAGUGACAGUAUUGUAUUUUUUGUGCUGAUCACUUCUUAGAGGGACUGGCAAAUUGAAAGCUGCACGAAAAAGAGCAAUAACAGGUCUGUGAUGCCCUUCGAUGUCCGGGGCUGCACGCGCGCUACAAUGAAAGCGUCAACGUGAGUUACGUCCUUACCUGAAAAGGUUUGGCAAUCGAAUGAAACGUUUUCUUGAAUGGAAUAGGGAAUUGCAAUUGUUUCCCUUGAACGAGGAAUUCCCAGUAAGCGUGAGUCAUUAGCUCGCGUUGAUUACGUCCCUGCCCUUUGUACACACCGCCCGUCGCUACUACCGAUUGGAUGAUUUAGUGAGGUGUUUUGACUGGCGCCAGUAGUCGGAUGUAUUCGGCUUCGCGCCGGGAAAUUUCCCAAACCAAAUCAUCUAGAGGAAGUAAAAGUCGUAACAAGGUUUCCGUAGGUGAACCUGCGGAAG